CAGCGCCACAAGUGGCAAUCAGCAUUACUGGGCCUAAAGCGUCCGUAGCCGGUUUGGAAAAUCCUUUGUGAAAUCGUCGAGCUUAACUCGGCGGCGUGCAGGGGACACUACCAGACUUGGGACCGGUGAGGAGUCAGAGGAAUUAGAGGGGGAGCGGUAAAAUGCAAUAAUCCUUCUAAGACCACCUGUGGCGAAGGCGUCUGACCAGAACGGAUCCGACGGUGAGGGACGAAAGCUAGGGGAGCGAACCGGAUUAGAUACCCGAGUAGUCC
rnacentral:rRNA from 1 species